CCGUCUCAGUUCGGAUCGCAGGCUGCAACCCGCCUGCGUGAAGUCGGAAUCGCUAGUAAUCGCGGAUCAGCAUGCCGCGGUGAAUACGUUCCCGGGCCUUGUACACACCGCCCGUCACACCAUGAGAGUCGGGAACACCCGAAGUCCGUAGCCUAACUAGCAAUAGAGGGCGCGGCCGAAGGUGGGUUCGAUAAUUGGGGUGAAGUCGUAACAAGGUAGC
rnacentral:rRNA from 1 species